UACAGAGGGUGCAAGCGUUGUUCGGAAUUAUUGGGCGUAAAGGGCUCGUAGGCGGCCAACUAAGUCAGACGUGAAAUCCCUCAGCUUAACUGGGGAACUGCGUCUGAUACUGGAUGGCUUGGAUUCGGGAGAGGGAUGCGGAAUUCCAGGUGUAGCGGUGAAAUGCGUAGAUAUCUGGAGGAACACCGGUGGCGAAGGCGGCAUCCUGGACCGAUAUUGACGCUGAGGAGCGAAAGCUAGGGGAGCAAACGGG
rnacentral:rRNA from 1 species